rnacentral:rRNA from 1 species
UACGAAGGGGGCUAGCGUUGUUCGGAAUUACUGGGCGUAAAGCGUAUGUAGGCGGAUCGUUAAGUCGGGGGUGAAAUCCCGAGGCUCAACCUCGGAACUGCCUUCGAUACUGGCGAUCUUCGAGUCCGGGGAGAGGUGAGUGGAACUCCGAGUGUAGAGGUGAAAUUCGUAGAUAUUCGGAAGAACACCAGUGGCGAAGGCGGCUCAGCUGGCCCGGUACUGACGCUGAAAUACGAAAGCGUGGGGAGCAAACAGG